rnacentral:sRNA from 1 species
AGAGGCCUCCAGCUUCUACCAAGGCCUUGGAGGUAAAGCUGGCAUACCAGGAGUCUGAGGUGGCUGCCCUGCUCAAGAAGAUCCCUCUGGGUCCAAGCGAGAUGAGUACCAUGCGGUGCCGGGCAGAGGAACUUCGGGAGGGGACACUCUGUGACUAUCGGCCUGUGUUGCCUCUCAUGCUGGCCAGUUUCAUCUUUGACGUUCUCUGUGCUCCAGGUAUGAUGCCUGACCCUACAGUAAGUGGGGAACUGGGGUAGGGGUAGCUUUCUCUAAGAAAGACCAAGAGCCCCAAGUUUCUGAAUCACCUUUAGGACCCAUCAGGCAGCUUCAUGGGUAGGUCUGUGAUGAUGAGGAUUUUGGGUUCCCCUGUAUUUUUUCCCAUGCAUGAUACUUCUGUCUGCCUGACUUACCCCAACUUUUAUACAGUGGUUUCUCCCACAGGUUCCCGGCCCCCAAGUCGCAACUGGAACAGCGAGACACCUGGGGAUGAGGAGCUGGGAUUUGAAGCAGCAGUUGCUGCCUUGGGCAUGAAGACAACAGUGAGUGAGGCAGAACAUCCCCUCUUAUGUGAAGGCACACGUCGGGAGAAGGGUGACCUGGCAUUAGCACUAAUGAUCACUUACAAGGACGACCAGGCCAAGCUUAAGAAGCCUGGGCAACAGAGCGAGACCCUGUCUCUUA